rnacentral:rRNA from 1 species
UACGUAGGGUGCGAGCGUUAAUCGGAAUUACUGGGCGUCAAGCGUGCGCAGGCGGUUUUGUAAGCCAGAUGCGAAAGCCCCGGGCUUAACCUGGGAAUGGCAUUUGGGACUGCAAGGCUUGAGUGCGGCAGAGGAGACUGGAAUUCCUGGUGUAGCAGUGAAAUGCGUAGAUAUCAGGAGGAAUACCGAUGGCGAAGGCAGGUCUCUGGGCUGACACUGACGCUCAUGCACGAAAGCGUGGGGAGCAAACAGG